CUCCUGUUAGCUCAGUUGGUAGAGCAUCUGGCUUUUAACCAGUGGGUCAAAGGUUCAAGUCCUUUACAGGAGACCA
rnacentral:tRNA from 3 species